GCUGUCAAUCACUCUUGUGUAUGUGCUGCUCACACCCUCCUCCUGCUCUACACUGCAGCUCCUCUCCCGCAGCAGAACCUGCAACAAAUGAGUACACCUUCCUGAUCCCGGGUUGGACCCCUUUUGCCUUCAGAACCGCCUUAACCCUUUAUGGCAGAGAUUCAACAGUACUGGAAACAUUCCUCAGGGAGUCUGGUCCUUAUUGACCUCAUAGCAUCAAACAGUUGCUGCAGAUUGGUCAGCUGCACAUCCAUGAUGUGAAUCUCCGGUUCCACCACCAAAGGUUUCUACUGGACUGAGAUCUGGUGACUGUGGAGGCCAGUCGAGUUCAGUGAACUGAUUCUUCAAGAAACCAGUCUGAGAUGAUCCAGGCUUUAUGACAUGGAGCGUUGUCCUGCUGGAAGUAUCCAUCAGAAGAUGGUCCACUGUGGCCUUAAAGGGAUGGACGUGGUCAGCAGCAAUACUCAGGUAGGCUGAGGCGUUGACACGAUGCUCAGAUGGUACUAAUGGGCCCAAAGGGCCAG